rnacentral:tRNA from 3 species
GGGCGCUUAGCUCAGUUGGUAGAGCAGGAUAUUUACACUAUCAAGGUCGGGGGUUCGAGUCCCUCAGCGCCCA